UCUGAAGGGGCAGUUGGUGGAGUUGCUCUCUGGAGUAGGAGACUGAGACCUUUCCUUCUAGCAACUUUCACCUUCUGAGAAGUGUUUGAGAUUGUUUAAACGCCACAGGUCCUAGAUUGUAUGACUGAUACAGGAUUUGAACUCAAAGCCACAAAACUGAAGCGAUUACAUCAAGAAAGAAGAAAAAUCCUGUCUUUAAAUGCUGACAAAGAUGAAAAAAAUUCCAUAAAAGUGUCUUUCCACAAUAAAGUCUUAACUACAAGUUUAUCAGGCAUGUUAAUUAAGGAAAAAAUGCAUCUGAAAGCAUGGCCAGGACUGUGUCUUCAACUGCAUGAAACCAACAAGAAGCAAGUCGAAAAUAGUACAACCCAAGUGGUAAACAGGAAUGAGGAACAGUAUCAAAGGAAGUUUCAAAUGUCAAUGGGAGAAAGGAAUGGUAUUGAGAGAAGAUCAAAGUGUAGCAGGAACAUACGCUGGUAAUUAAGCAACAGUACUAAACUAAGUGAGAGAGUGACAAGUGGGUACUAGAAAGAAAAUGUUAAGUCCUAGUAGAUGAUACCAAACACCUUUUGGUAGAGAAUUUACAGAAUUGUAAAUUAAAUAUUAUUUCUGAAAUUUCAACACUUUUCUAGAGUUGAAAAAGUAUAUAUUCUCAGGGUCUAAAAGAAAUAGGAUGGAAUAAAAAAGAAAAUUGAACCAUGAUGGUUA